rnacentral:rRNA from 1 species
CAAGGUCGACCUCAGAUCAGGUAGGAAUACCCGCUGAACUUAAGCAUAUCAAUAAGGCGGAGGAAAAGAAACCAACAGGGAUUGCCUCAGUAACGGCGAGUGAAGCGGCAACAGCUCAAAUUUGAAAUCUGGCCUCUGGCCCGAGUUGUAAUUUGCAGAGGAUGUUUCUGGCGAGGUGCCUUCCGAGUUCCCUGGAACGGGACGCCAUAGAGGGUGAGAGCCCCGUACGGUUGGUCGCUAAGCCUCUGUGAAACUCCUUCGACGAGUCGAGUAGUUUGGGAAUGCUGCUCUAAAUGGGAGGUGUACGCCUUCUUAAGCUAAAUACCGGCUAGAGACCGAUAGCGCACAAGUAGAGUGAUCGAAAGAUGAAAAGCACUUUGAAAAGAGGGUUAAAAAGUACGUGAAAUUGUUGAAAGGGAAGCGCUCUUGACCAGACUUGCGCCGGUUGAUCAUCCGCCGUUCUCGGUGGUGCACUCUGCCGGCUCAGGCCAGCAUCAGUUCGGUCCGGGGGAUAAAGGCUUCGGGAAUGUGGCUCUCUCCGGGGAGUGUUAUAGCCCGUUGCGUAAUACCUGGGCUGGACUGAGGUUCGCGCAUCUGCAUGGAUGCUGGCGUAAUGGUUAUCAGUGACCCGUCUUGAAACACGGACCAAGGAGUCGUCUUCGUAUGCGAGUGUUCGGGUGUCAAACCCCUACGCGUAAUGAAAGUGAACGUAGGAGAGAGCUUCGGCGCAUCUCCGACCGAUCCUGAUGUUCUCGGAUGGAUUUGAGUAAGAGCAUACGGGGCCGGACCCGAAAGAAGGUGAACUAUGCCUGUAUAGGGUGAAGCCAGAGGAAACUCUGGUGGAGGCUCGCAGCGGUUCUGACGUGCAAAUCGAUCGUCAAAUAUGGGCAUGGGGGCGAAAGACUA